GGGCACUUACACCAUGCCUGAAGGUACACAGAGACCAUGCUUCUAUCCUGAUUUUGAGGGAUUCUCAGAGCACAUUUUAGAGAAGAAUGGCUGACACUCAGUUCAUUCAACCAAGUGGCCCCUGAACAAAACUUGGUUGCCAUGACUCCAGACAAGCACUGUCAGGAUUGGUGCUUCAAAACAGCGAGGGACAGAAAGCCAAGAGCACCAGGAUCCUACACAGCCUAACCCUAGAGAGGCCGCUCGUCAGCAUUUCAUACUGUUUUCAUUAAAACAAGACAUGAUGUGUGUUACGGUCAGCCUGCCGGGGAGUGUGGACAGCAAGAGGUUGAGAAGCUUGGGAACUGUAUCAAAGUGCCCACCACAAAGAUGAGAAAAGAGCUCCACCUGUCAAUGCAUCUAUAAAUCUCUAUUGAAAAUGUAAAAGCAUUACAGUCUAGAAGGAUGGAAUAAUAAAGUGCCUUUCCCAAAGCCCUAGAGAAUCAAAUAAAUUGAAAUGUGCCAAAACUCAGAACUGUGGAAUUGUGUAGCUGAACUCACCCCCCAUUUCCAACCCCUCUUCAAUCCUGGAACUUUUGCUUCCUUCCUGGGAGAUACGGUCUUUUGGGG
rnacentral:lncRNA from 1 species